UACGUAGGGGGCAAGCGUUGUCCGGAAUCAUUGGGCGUAAAGAGCGUGUAGGCGGCCCGGUAAGUCCGCUGUGAAAGUCCAGGGCUCAACCCUGGGAUGCCGGUGGAUACUGUCGGGCUCGAGUCCGGAAGAGGAGUGUGGAAUUCCUGGUGUAGCGGUGAAAUGCGCAGAUAUCAGGAGGAACACCAAUGGCGAAGGCAGCACUCUGGGCCGGCACUGACGCUGAGGAGCGAAAGCGUGGGGAGCGAACAGG
rnacentral:rRNA from 1 species